rnacentral:rRNA from 1 species
AUUGAACGCUGGCGGCAGGCCUAACACAUGCAAGUCGAGCGAGCGGCGGACGGGUGAGUAAUGUAUGGGGACUGCCCGAUAUAGGGGGAUAACUACUGGAAACGGUGGCUAAUACCGCAUACUAUCGGAUAAUCCAUAUGGGAUUAGCUAGUGGGUGGGGUAAUGGCUCACCUAGGCGACGAUCCCUAGCUGGCCUUAGAGGAUGAUCAUCCACACGGGAAAUGAGACACGGCCCAGACUCCUACGGAGGCAGCAGUGGGGAAUAUUGCACAAUGGGCGCAAGCCUGAUGCAGCCAUGCCGCGUGUAUGAAGAAGGCCCUAGGGUUGUAAAGUACUUUCAGUCGGGAGGCGUUACCGGCAGAAGAAGCACCGGCUAACUCCGUGCCAGCAGCCGCGGUAAUUC